UACGUAGGGUGCGAGCGUUGAUCGGAAUUACUGGGCGUAAAGCGUGCGCAGGCGGUUGUGCAAGACAGAUGUGAAAUCCCCGGGCUUAACCUGGGAAUUGCAUUUGUGACUGUACGGCUAGAGUGUGUCAGAGGGGGGUAGAAUUCCACGUGUAGCAGUGAAAUGCGUAGAGAUGUGGAGGAAUACCGAUGGCGAAGGCAGCCCCCUGGGAUAACACUGACGCUCAUGCACGAAAGCGUGGGGAGCAAACAGG
rnacentral:rRNA from 1 species